rnacentral:lncRNA from 1 species
ACAAAAGAUAUGUCCAUUGUAAACCCUUUUUCAGAUAAAUUAAACUUUUUUUUUUUUUGAGAGAUAGGUAGCACGCUACCCGUUUCGUUUUAUUUCAUUUAGAAAUAAACUUAACUGUAAAUUUGAAUCAACUAGGAUUCGAACUUGGAUCUCGGGCAUCAACUACCAAACCCGUUGCCACUUACUCUAGGGACGGUCGGUCAGAUAAAUUAAACUACUAUCAGUAAAUUUGUUACAGUCACGAAAAACAUGAU